GCGGAUUAGUGGCGAACGGGUGAGUAACACGUGAGCAACCUGCCCCAAACUCUGGAAUAACUUCGGGAAACCGAAGCUAAUACCGGAUACGUCAACCGGCGGCAUCGCCUGGUUGUGGAAAGUUUUUCGGUUUGGGAUGGGCUCGCGGCCUAUCAGCUUGUUGGUGAGGUAAUGGCUCACCAAGGCUACGACGGGUAACCGGCCUGAGAGGGCGAACGGUCACACUGGGACUGAGACACGGCCCAGACUCC
rnacentral:rRNA from 1 species